AUGAACCACACUUCCGCUCCAGGUCCGGAUGGCCUCCCAGUGAAGUUCUUCCAAACCUUCUGGGACGUCAUAAAGCCAGAGAUGAUGGCCCUAUUCGAGGAGUUCUUUGUGGGCUCCAUCGACCUCACUCGGCUUAACUUUAGGAUAAUCACCCUUAUUCCCAAAGUACCGGGGGCCUCUAAUAUUCGCCAGUUCCACCCAAUCACGGUGAUCAAUGUCAUCUUCCGCAUCCUAGCCAAGGGGUACGCCAUUAGGGUGGCCUUGAUUGCUGAUCGUAUCACCCACCCAGACCAGUCGGCAUUUAUUCAGGGCCGCUACAUCCUUGACGAGAUUCUAGUUUUUCAGGAAGCCCUCCACGAGGUACACUCCAAACACCUCAAGGCGGUCUUCCUGAAACUAGACUUCUACAAGGCGUAUGAAACGGUUAGAUGGGCCUUCCUUCAGGAAGUAUUGCUUCGGAAAGGUUUCGCCGACCGGUGGGUGACCACAUGA
rnacentral:rRNA from 1 species